CCUACGGAGGGCAGCAGUGAGGAAUAUUGGUCAAUGGGCGGAAGCCUGAACCAGCCAAGUAGCGUGCAGGAUGACGGCCCUACGGGUUGUAAACUGCUUUUAUACGGGAAUAACGCGCCUUACGUGUAGGGCUUUGCAUGUACCGUAUGAAUAAGGACCGGCUAAUUCCGUGCCAGCAGCCGCGGUAAUACGGAAGGUCCUGGCUUUAUCCGGAUUUAUUGGGUUUAAAGGGAGCGUAGGCCGCAUGUCAAGCGUGCUGUGAAAUGUCCGGGCUCAACCCGGGCCUUGCAGCGCGAACUGGCGUGCUUGAGUCCGCGGAAAGCAGGCGGAAUUCGUCGUGUAGCGGUGAAAUGCUUAGAUAUGACGAAGAACCCCGAUUGCGAAGGCAGCUUGCUGCAGCGGAACUGACGCUGAUGCUCGAAAGCGCGGGUAUCGAACAGGAUUAGAUACACCAGUAGUC
rnacentral:rRNA from 1 species